rnacentral:rRNA from 1 species
UUCUGACCUCGGAUCAGGUGGGACUACCCGCUGAACUUAAGCAUAUCAAUAAGCGGAGGAAAAGAAACUAACAAGGAUUCCCCUAGUAACGGCGAGUGAAGCGGGAUGAGCUCAAAUUUAAAAUCUGGUAGUCUCUGGCUGCCCGAGUUGUAAUCUAGAGAAGUGUUUUCUGUGCUGGACUGUGUUCAAGUUUCCUGGAUAUGGAACAUCAUAGAGGGUGAGAAUCCCGUCCUUGACACAGACUUCC